GGUGUCGUGGCCGAGUGGCUGAAGGCGCACGCUUGGAAAGCGUGUAUACGUUUAUAGCGUAUCGUGGGUUCGAAUCCCACCGACACCGCCA
rnacentral:tRNA from 1 species